AGGAAUUUGUAUCUCAGUGAAAACCUUUAUAUUUUCUAUCAUGUGCUUUUCUCCGAUUACUCCUGAAACCCCAUCUCCUCCAUAUUUCCUUCCAAAAUGGUUUCAGGAGUAUUCAAAUUGUCCAUGUGGCAACUGACAGCAUUACCGAAUCCCCACAAGAUGAAGGCUGAACAUCUUCUGUUUCUGAUCACAACCGGAAUUCUACUGUGGCUCCUGUGACUAUCUUAAAGAGUGCUAGAGGAGUGUCUUCAUCUUGUUGAUUUUAUAUCCCAUCUCUGCUAAUUUACAUGGAAACUAUUGAAACUUCUGAAGAUGGGAGUGAUUAUCUGAGCUGCAGUUUGGCACCUGAGAGAUGGACCGAAGAGAAAGGUUGGAGGGAGAGAGCCAUCUAAACAUACUAAGGCUUGCAUUUUUAUUUGUAUUUAAAAUUGCCCUAGUUGAUUAAGAAGCUGAGUGGAGGAAAGCAUGCUUCCUGACACGGAACAGAAGUUACCAUAUGAUAACAGUCCACUAGAUGUCACUAAAAGCUCAAGGAUUGGUGCUUUAUGUUUCCUUUCUUGAACCUGCCCCUUGGAACUUGAACUCUAGGGUCUGUGGAUUUAGGCUAGGUGCUGCUUAUGCUUUUAACUGGAAAUCCCCAUAUAAUCAGGUACUGCAAG
rnacentral:lncRNA from 1 species